AUUGAACGCUGGCGGCAUGCCUUACACAUGCAAGUCGAACGGCAGCACGGGGCAACCUGGUGGCGAGUGGCGAACGGGUGAGUAAUGCAUCGGAACGUACCUUUCAGUGGGGGAUAACGUAGCGAAAGUUACGCUAAUACCGCAUAUUCUGUGAGCAGGAAAGCAGGGGAUCGCAAGACCUUGCGCUGAUUGAGCGGCCGAUGUCAGAUUAGUUAGUUGGUGAGGUAAAGGCUCACCAAGGCGACGAUCUGUAGCGGGUCUGAGAGGAUGAUCCGCCACACUGGAACUGAGACACGGUCCAGACUCCUACGGGAGGCAGCAGUGGGGAAUUUUGGACAAUGGGGGCAACCCUAAUCCAGCCAUGCCGCGUGAGUGAAGAAGGCCUUCGGGUUGUAAAGCUCUUUCGGCCGGGAAGAAAUCGCACGGGCUAAUACCCUGUGUGGAUGACGGUACCGGAAUAAGAAGCACCGGCUAGCUACGUGCCAGCCGCCGCAGUAAAAC
rnacentral:rRNA from 1 species